GGUUAAGCGACUAAGCGUACACGGUGGAUGCCCUGGCAGUCAGAGGCGAUGAAGGGCGUGCUAAUCUGCGAUAAGCGCCGGUAAGGUGAUAUGAACCGUUAUAACCGGCGAUACCCGAAUGGGGAAACCCAGUGUGAUUCGUCACACUAUCAUUAACUGAAUCCAUAGGUUAAUGAGGCGAACCGGGGGAACUGAAACAUCUAAGUACCCCGAGGAAAAGAAAUCAACCGAGAUUCCCCCAGUAGCGGCGAGCGAACGGGGAGGAGCCCAGAGCCUGAAUCAGCAUGUGUGUUAGUGGAAGCGUCUGGAAAGGCGCGCGAUACAGGGUGACAGCCCCGUACACAAAAGCGCAUGUGCUGUGAGCUCGAUGAGUAGGGCGGGACACGUGGUAUCCUGUCUGAAUAUGGGGGGACCAUCCUCCAAGGCUAAAUACUCCUGACUGACCGAUAGUGAACCAGUACCGUGAGGGAAAGGCGAAAAGAACCCCGGCGAGGGGAGUGAAAAAGAACCUGAAACCGUGUACGUACAAGCAGUGGGAGCACAGGUUUACCUGUGUGACUGCGUACCUUUUGUAUAAUGGGUCAGCGACUUAUAUUCUGUAGCAAGGUUAACCGAAUAGGGGAGCCGGAGGGAAACCGAGUCUUAAUUGGGCGUUAAGUUGCAGGGUAUAGACCCGAAACCCGGUGAUCUAGCCAUGGGCAGGUUGAAGGUUGGGUAACACUAACUGGAGGACCGAACCGACUAAUGUUGAAAAAUUAGCGGAUGACCUGUGGCUGGGGGUGAAAGGCCAAUCAAACCGGGAGAUAGCUGGUUCUCCCCGAAAGCUAUUUAGGUAGCGCCUCGUGAAUUCAUCUCCGGGGGUAGAGCACUGUUUCGGCUAGGGGGCCAUCCCGGCUUACCAACCCGAUGCAAACUGCGAAUACCGGAGAAUGUUAUCACGGGAGACACACGGCGGGUGCUAACGUCCGUCGUGAAGAGGGAAACAACCCAGACCGCCAGCUAAGGUCCCAAAGUCAUGGUUAAGUGGGAAACGAUGUGGGAAGGCCCAGACAGCCAGGAUGUUGGCUUAGAAGCAGCCAUCAUUUAAAGAAAGCGUAAUAGCUCACUGGUCGAGUCGGCCUGCGCGGAAGAUGUAACGGGGCUAAACCAUGCACCGAAGCUGCGGCAGCGACGCUUAUGCGUUGUUGGGUAGGGGAGCGUUCUGUAAGCCUGUGAAGGUGUGUCGUGAGGCAUGCUGGAGGUAUCAGAAGUGCGAAUGCUGACAUAAGUAACGAUAAAGCGGGUGAAAAGCCCGCUCGCCGGAAGACCAAGGGUUCCUGUCCAACGUUAAUCGGGGCAGGGUGAGUCGACCCCUAAGGCGAGGCCGAAAGGCGUAGUCGAUGGGAAACGGGUUAAUAUUCCCGUACUUGGUGUUACUGCGAAGGGGGGACGGAGAAGGCUAUGUUGGCCGGGCGACGGUUGUCCCGGUUUAAGCGUGUAGGUGUGUGUUCCAGGUAAAUCCGGUUCACUUUAACACUGAGGCGUGAUGACGAGGCACUACGGUGCUGAAGUAACAAAUGCCCUGCUUCCAGGAAAAGCCUCUAAGCAUCAGGUAACAUCAAAUCGUACCCCAAACCGACACAGGUGGUCAGGUAGAGAAUACCAAGGCGCUUGAGAGAACUCGGGUGAAGGAACUAGGCAAAAUGGUGCCGUAACUUCGGGAGAAGGCACGCUGACACGUAGGUGAAGUGAUUUACUCAUGGAGCUGAAGUCAGUCGAAGAUACCAGCUGGCUGCAACUGUUUAUUAAAAACACAGCACUGUGCAAACACGAAAGUGGACGUAUACGGUGUGACGCCUGCCCGGUGCCGGAAGGUUAAUUGAUGGGGUCAGCGCAAGCGAAGCUCCUGAUCGAAGCCCCGGUAAACGGCGGCCGUAACUAUAACGGUCCUAAGGUAGCGAAAUUCCUUGUCGGGUAAGUUCCGACCUGCACGAAUGGCGUAAUGAUGGCCAGGCUGUCUCCACCCGAGACUCAGUGAAAUUGAACUCGCUGUGAAGAUGCAGUGUACCCGCGGCAAGACGGAAAGACCCCGUGAACCUUUACUAUAGCUUGACACUGAACAUUGAGCCUUGAUGUGUAGGAUAGGUGGGAGGCUUUGAAGUGUGGACGCCAGUCUGCGUGGAGCCGACCUUGAAAUACCACCCUUUAAUGUUUGAUGUUCUAACGU
rnacentral:rRNA from 1 species